rnacentral:lncRNA from 1 species
AGACUGCCUCGAUGACUUGCAAGCAACUCACUAUACUUUGGUGCCGGACUAUCCAAAUUUUUAAUUCGAUGACAGAAAAUUUUUGAGUAUAGUCAAGUACUUAUGAAGUCUGAGUGUGAGUCAUGAUGGGAUUGAUCGCUCCAAGUAAAAUUAGAGAUGAUGCAUCACUGUAUGUCAAUUCAACAAAACUUUGACCAGAGUUGUCCUAGUGAAA